AUCCCUGUAGCACAAUGGAUAACAUGUUGGACUUCUAAUCCAAAGGUCAUGGGUUCAAAUCCCACCUGGGAUG